CGUACGCUGGACACACACCAGCCUGGGCACAGCGGAAGGAGCGGCCGCCAGUGCGCACGAGCUACAGCUGAAGCAGGGGCAUGGGGAUGGCGCAUGUCGCCCUGGCAGCGGUGCUGGCCAUGGCGGCAGCGGCGGCGACGGUGAGCGCGUCGCCGGCGCUGGGGGUCCAGCCGCUGUCCAAGAUCGCCAUCCACAAGGCCACCGUUCACCUUGACCUCCAUCGCUCCUCCGCGUACGUGCGGGCCACGCCGGCGCUGCUCGGCGGCCAGGACGAAGACACUGCAUGGGUCACCGUCAAAUACGGCUGGGAUAACCCCACCCCCGACGACUGGAUCGCCGUCUUCUCCCCCGCCGAUUUCAUCUCGGGGACGUGCCCUAACCCCGAGAGGUACCCCGCCGAGCCGCUGCUCUGCACGGCGCCGAUCAAGUAUCAGUACGCCAACUACUCGGCGAACUACCUCAAAGGUGGCAAGGGCACCAUCCGGCUCCAGCUCAUCAACCAGCGCGCCGACUUCUCCUUCGCCCUCUUCACCGGCGGCCUCGAAAACCCGAAGCUGGUGUCGGUGUCAAAGGCGGUGGUGUUCAAGAACCCCAAGGCGCCGGUGUUCCCGCGGCUGGCGCAGGGCAAGACCCACGACGAGAUGACGGUGACGUGGACCAGCGGCUAUGACGUCAGCGAGGCCUACCCGUUCGUGGAGUGGGGCAUGGUCGGCGCCGCCGGCACGCGCACGCCCGCCGGGACACUCACCUUCAACCGCGGCAGCAUGUGCGGCGAGCCGGCGCGGACGGUUGGGUGGAGAGAACCCGGGUUCAUCCACACGGCGUUCAUGAGGAACCUGUGGCCCAACAAAGAGUACUUCUACAAGAUUGGGCAUGAGCUCUCCGACGGAACCGUGGUGUGGGCUAAGUCCUACACCUUCCGGGCACCGCCAACCCCCGGGCAGAACUCGCUGCAGCGCAUCAUCGUCUUCGGUGACAUGGGAAAGGCGGAGAGGGAUGGAUCAAACGAGUUCGCCAACUACCAGCCGGGGUCGCUCAACACCACGGAUAGGUUGAUUGAAGAUCUGGACAACUACGACAUCGUCUUUCACAUCGGCGACAUGCCCUACGCCAACGGGUACCUCUCCCAGUGGGACCAGUUCACCGCACAGGUUGCCCCCAUCAGCGCCAAGAAGCCCUACAUGGUUGCAAGCGGCAACCACGAGAGGGACUGGCCCAACACCGGUGGAUUUUUCGACGUCGAGGACUCCGGCGGCGAAUGCGGUGUGCCGGCCGAGACCAUGUACUACUACCCAGCCGAAAACAGAGCAAACUUUUGGUACAAGGUGGACUACGGGAUGUUCCGGUUCUGCGUGGCGGACUCGGAGCACGACUGGAGGGAGGGGACUCCGCAGUACAAGUUCAUCGAGGAGUGCCUCUCCACGGUGGACCGCAAGCACCAGCCGUGGCUCAUCUUCACGGCGCACCGGGUGCUCGGCUACUCCUCCAACUCGUGGUACGCCGACCAGGGCUCCUUCGAGGAGCCGGAGGGCCGGGAGAGCCUGCAGAAACUGUGGCAGAAGUACCGCGUCGACAUUGCCUACUUCGGCCACGUCCACAACUACGAGCGCACAUGCCCGCUCUACCAGAGCCAGUGCGUCAACAACGAGAGGAGCCACUACUCGGGCACCAUGAACGGGACCAUCUUCGUCGUGGCCGGCGGCGGCGGCAGCCACCUGUCGGAGUACACCACCGCGAUCCCCAAGUGGAGCAUAUUCAGGGAUCACGACUACGGGUUCACCAAGCUGACGGCCUUCAACCACUCAUCGCUUUUGUUUGAGUACAUGAAGAGCAGCGAUGGCAAGGUCUACGACUCCUUCACCAUUCACAGGGACUACCGCGAAGUGCUCAGCUGCGUGCACGACAGUUGCUUCCCCACCACGCUCGCUUCUUGAUUGUCUGGCCGUCAUGGAGGGUCAUGCAAUAAAAUUGUAUGCAUUGUGACAACGGCGAAUCUAGGAGGUAAAUGCAGGGCAUGUUCAACUUCAAGGGCGCUAUUUUUUUGGGGCAUGAAGACAACACACAAUGCACACACAUUGCUAGGUAACCUAAUCCGAUGGUUUCACGUAACGCACACAGACCGCCAGGCAAACCUCCUAUAUCGCCUCCAAGUAACUCACCAGAAGGAUUUGCACACUACGCCAAGCAACCUCAGCUGGUGCCGCCAGAUAAAGGAGCAGGAAAAAAAGGUACUGGAGCUGGGGGCAAGACUGCUAGAACGGGUAGCAAGUGAAGUCUAUGUGGCUUCUUAAGGGUGGAGAAUCAAUAUGCUGCGCUUGGAAGGAUGAAGAACUCUUUCCUUGGAGGGUGUCUGGACUGCCUUGCUGCUUGUUUUUGCGCUUGUUUUAACCCUCUCUUUUGCGUAGCUUGUAGCUUGGUUUCCGUUUGAGUGUGGAUGAUUGUAAUAACUUAGCUGAACUGUUAUGCUCGGUGAUGUUUGAACUAGUCUUAUGGGGGAGGUGAAGAGGGUGCUAUGGCCUGGUUGUUGUGGCACACCCCCUUACCCCAUCCCGUUAGGGUAAACGCUUUGGUUGCAUCCUGUAGUUCGAGAACUGAUGGUUUUCUUUAAUGAAAAUCGGAGGGGUGAAAAGCCCUAUAUUUCUUCAAAAAAAGCUUAUUUAGCA